AUUGAACGCUGGCGGAAGGCCUAACACAUUCAAGUUGCACGAGUGGCGGACGGGUGAGUAAUGUCUUGGAAACUGCCUGAUGGAGGGGGAUAACUACUGGUAACGGUAGCUAAUACCGCAUACCAUCAGAUGUGCCCAGAUGGGAUUAGCUUGUUGUUGGGGUAAGGGCUCACCAAGGCGACGAUCCCUAGCGGGUAGGAGAGGAUGACAAGCCAACAUGGAACUGAGACACAGUGCAGACUCCGAGGGGAGGCAGCAGGGGGGAAUAUUGCACACUGGGUGCAAGCCUGAUGCAGCCAUGCCGCGGUUAUGAAGAAGGCCUUCGGGUUGUAAAGUACUUUCAGCGGGGAGGCGUUACCCGCAGAAGAAGCACCGGCUAACUCCGUGCCAGCCGCCGCGGUAAUAC
rnacentral:rRNA from 1 species